rnacentral:rRNA from 1 species
GACGAACGCUGGCGGCGUGCUUAACACAUGCAAGUCGAACGGAAAGGCCUCUUUCGGGGGGUACUCGAGUGGCGAACGGGUGAGUAACACGUGAGUAACCUGCCCUUGACUUUGGGAUAACUUCAGGAAACUGGGGCUAAUACCGGAUAGGAGCUCCUGCUGCAUGGUGGGGGUUGGAAAGUUUCGGCGGUUGGGGAUGGACUCGCGGCUUAUCAGCUUGUUGGUGGGGUAGUGGCUUACCAAGGCUUUGACGGGUAGCCGGCCUGAGAGGGUGACCGGCCACAUUGGGAAUGAGAUACGGCCCAGACUCCUACGGGAGGCAGCAGUGGGGAAUAUUGCACAAUGGGUGGAAGCCUGAUGCAGCAACGCCGUGUGCGGGAUGACGGCCUUCGGGUUGUAAACCGCUUUCGCUCAUGACGAAGCUUUGUGUGACGGUAGUGGGUAAAGAAGCACCGGCUAACUACG